rnacentral:lncRNA from 1 species
UAUUAUAAUUAAAAUCGUUUUUUAAAACAAUGCUUGCAUAAACAUAAAUCUAUCUAAUUAUGGUAUGGUAAUGGCAUCAAAAUAGCUGUCAAAAAAAUAAAAUAAGAAUGAGUCAAAGUCAUUGACAUCAACAAAAAUUAUCAGGAAACAUCAGUAGCGGAUGUUAUGGACUCGAGCAUUCAAGGUGGUGAAGUAUCAGCCUGAUAAAUAUCGAGGGAGACAAUCGCAUGGAAAUCCGAUCAAGAAUAGAGUGCACGCGCGCGCUUUCAACAGAAUGAGAAAGGUUAUUUGCAGUAGAGAUCUUAGUUGGAUGGACAAAGUCCGAAACUUAGAUAUACUUAAACAUCUAAUUAAAAACGCUGAAAUCUUAUCAAACGGAGACAAUUUGAAUACUUCGGUCAUGUAAUGAGGGCGCAAAAUACAGACUACUGCAAACAUGCAGGGUAUCAUUGCUGGCAAGCGUGGUCCUGUUAGACGCAAAACAUCAUGACUGAAGAAUUUACGCGAUUGGUGUGGCGUGACCUCAAGCGCACUCUUCAGGUUGGUGACCGAGGUUCUGGGAGGGCAUGGUACAUGAAGAAGACGAAGGCCAUCGGAGUGCAAACGAAGUACUGUCUGGACUUUUUAAAAAGAUGGCGUGAGGACAUCCAGAAGACUGCUGGGAAAAAAACUGGAUGAGGGCUGCUAUGGACAGGCAAAUAUGGAAGAUGCCGAAUUCAGGAGUGGAUGAGAACAGGCUCAUAAGAAGAAGAUUCUUUCCCACCUUCUAAGGCGGCAGACCAACGGAACCACCCGUGAUCACUGGUGACCAUCAAGCAGAUUUCCAGCAUUUACUAUUACCAUUCUACAAUGGCUAAACACCGCUCGAAAUUGUCAACGUGGCCUAAAUUAGUGGUGGAAAAAGAUUCCUUGAUUUUAGUAGAUGGUGAUAGCGAGUGGUUCCUGUGGGACAGCAGCUUUUUAGCCAAAAUGUAUUGGUUUCCAUGAGAUUAAUUCUAUGCGGCAUGAUUUAGAAUUUGCAACAUAAGUAAAACCUUACCUCUAGCUGCA